UAAUUGCAUACCUCAAAGAUGGUGGCAGAAAGUCCUUCACUAGCAGGAGACACUCCAGUGAGAACAAGCAACAGAGAAAGGAAGAGAAGAAGUACCAGAGAGUUUAUUCCAGGAAGUGACUAAAGAAGAAGAUUACGCUGACAUAAUUCACACGUGUCAAGAAGAUAAUUUUUUUUAUUUUUCUCUCUUCUCAGCUUUUAUCAAAAUCUGAUCUACGUCUCAUAGAGUUCUUGCACUGAUGUAGUCAAUGGGAGGGUGUGGCUAAAUUUGAGCUAAACUGUCCGCCAUGUUGGGUGGCAAGAAUGAUCUUCAGAAUGCAAUAGUUAAUGAAGUUCAACAUCAAACAUCAGAAAUACAGCAACUAGUUUAUAGAGUAAGUGAUACACUUUUAC